GUCCACAUAGCUUAACACAAA
rnacentral:tRNA from 1 species